UUCUUAAAGAGUUUGAUCCUGGCUCAGAGUGAACGCUAGCGGUGCGCCUAACACAUGCAAGUCGUACGCGCGUCUCAUUGUUGGUUUUCCAAAGUCUGUUUUCGUUAUUCUUGCUCAUAGGGCGCGAACGGAAAACGGUAAAGGGAAAGUGGAAAAUGAAAUUUGUUUUCCCUUUUCCCCUUUCCCCUUUCAGUUCGCCUCUCGCCCACUAGCAAGAUUAACUGCAAAGCACGAAAUAGAACCAAGAAUGAGGCGCGAGUGGCGAACGGCUGAGUAACACGUUGGAACCUGCCCCGAACUCAGGGAUAACCCGCCGAAAGGUGGACUAAUACCGGAUAGUCUCGGUUCCUCUUUGUACUUUUAUCCAAGUCUUAUGUUGCUAUUGAAGCAACAGAGAAAUUGACAAUUAACAAUGAACAAUUGACAAUUCUAAAGCGGCUCGAAGUUUGGUUGCUUUUAAUACCUUACGUAAUUGUCAAUUAUCAAUUGUC
rnacentral:rRNA from 1 species